rnacentral:rRNA from 1 species
GGACCCGCACAAGUAGUGGAGCAUGUGGUUUAAUUCGAUGAUACGCGAGGAACCUUACCAGGGCUUAAAUGUAGUAUGACCGGUCUAGAAUAGGCCUUCCCUUCGGGCAGAUUACAAGGUGCUGCAUGGUUGUCGUCAGCUCGUGCCGUGAGUGUUAGGUUAAGUCCUGCAACGAGCGCAACCCCUAUUCUUAGUUGCCAGCGGUUCGGCCGGGGACUCUAAGAAGACUGCCAGCGCAAGCUGAGAGGAAGGUGGGGAUGACGUCAAAUCAUCACGGCCCUUACGUCCUGGGCUACACACGUGCUACAAUGGUACAGACAGAGGGCAGCCACCUGGCGACAGGGAGCGAA